UGCCUGUCACAAGCUCUAACUUCAAAGGUAACAAAACUUCAUGACCAACAUGCAUGUGCUGUUUGAGCCUGGUGUUAAGCAGAAUUAGCUAAUUGUAGUAUUAGACGGUGUCGCUAGAAGAAGCGGCACUGAAUAGUGCUGCAGUACCAUCGCUGAGUUUUGCCUCAAGCAUCAUCUGUUAGAUCAUGUUAAUAGGAUCACACUUCUUUCCCAUCCCUGGUGUCAGAGUCCAGAAUGAACUCACUGUAAAUCUCUCAGCUACAGUGACUGUAUUUCACCCUGUUGAUGCCACUUUUCCAAGCAAUGCCUCAAGCUUCAAUCUUCCAGCUGUCUGAAGCUCCUGUUGAUUGUUAGAAAUUUAUUAUCAUUACAAUUUCACACUUAGAGCCAAACACCAGGUAGCAAAUGACACUACUAGCUGCGCUGCUAACUAAGAUCUGAAUCUAACUUAAGCUACACUCAGCAGAAAAUACUUGGCAAAGCAUUUUGUUCAUUCGAAGCUGUUUUUGGAUAAAAGUUGAUUGGGUUUUAUUUGCAAGCACAUAAAGAAUGUCUACUCUGCUUAUUUUGCUCUAUAGAUAUUGGGGUAGGGCCCUCACAAGCGCUCUGCUCUUGGAGCAUUGGAGUUUGAAAGUUGAUUAAUUCAGUGUCUGGCUUUCCUCUCUCCGUCUGGCCAACAAUAAAGCUGUCUCAAGCCCCCUACAAGCCCGGAGCACUUGCAGUGUUUGUCUUUUGCAGUUGGUCUCUGGUUAUGUGUGUUUUUGACUGUGCGUUGUUGGUGUUUUAGUGGCAUGUUUACUGCAGUAUGUUUCUCCCAGUGGGGAUCAUUCAGGCCACUGCAGAUCGUCUGCCCUUGUCAGACAUUGAACUACGGGAUACAAAACAUUUCAGCCAAUUAAGCGCUUCGAACUUUUGGUCAAUAUCUAGUUAGGGCACUUUGCUGUCCAGCGUUGCUGUGUACCUGAGAAAAAAUGAGAGUCAGAAACACUUGGUUAGAUGGGUUUGGUCAGGAGGAUCUCAACUAUAAUUUGUUAGAUUUCAACUGCAUUAAAUGCAGGAAAUUGGAAAUGACAGUUUGAAACAAGGCUUUGUUGCCAAACAUCAGUAACUGACUGAAGAAGUUUAUAUUUUUUCCAGCUGGAUGGCCAAGAAAUAAAAAAAACACUCCAGAAUCUCCCCAGCAACAUUUGAGAGCAGUCCUUGAUAAAGCUGGAUGUCAAACAAGCAAAUUUAGGCAUGAUUAUCUUGUAUACGAUUACUUUUGGUGCCCUGAUGGUGCUAAAAAAUGAAAAACAUCAUGAUGCAAAAAGAAUAAUUUCCCCUUGAUGCCAUGAGCAGUGACACACAAGUGAGAUAUAUCUGACUCAGUUACAGGACUCACAUUUGAUCCAGCACUGCUCUCACUGUUAGAGACAAAGAAAAGAGGUAGAAAACGCUGACUCACCCGUGAGCUCCGAGUAUCAUGUACCUUCCAAACUUUCGCAGUGUUGCAGUGACCUUGAGCAGCGCAGAAAGCGAGGGAGCCAAUGAGUGACUGUGGAAAAUGAGGAGCGCGAGAUCCCUCCAACCUGCUUCCCGACAGAUAAUCUGUCAACCCCCCACUGGUCCCCAGACUCAUGGUACAUGCGGCAAACACACACAUAUGCCAGGUAGAGUACACACUGUCUCUCUCUCUUUCUCUCUCUCACACACACACACAUGCACCUCUCACCAGACACCUUCUCCUGCUGCACAGCAGUGUUUGACUGAGAGGUAGUUUGAAGGGAACGCUCCUCUUCUCCCCCUCUCCAAAUCCAUCGAUCACACCAAACGCU